UACGGAGGGUGCAAGCGUUGUUCGGAAUCACUGGGCGUAAAGCGCGUGUAGGCGGCCUCCUAAGUCUGGUGUGAAAGCCCGGGGCUUACCCCCGGAAGUGCAUCGGAUACUGGGAGACUAGAGUACCGGAGAGGAGGGUGGAAUUCCUGGUGUAGCGGUGAAAUGCGUAGAUAUCAGGAAGAACACCGGUGGCGAAGGCGGCCCUCUGGACGGAUACUGACGCUGAGACGCGAAAGCGUGGGGAGCAAACAGG
rnacentral:rRNA from 1 species